GUGGCUGUUGGCCACUGCAGGGCAACACCCCGGCGUCCCUGGAAGCGGGGAGCCGGGGUGGUGCUGGGGACGCUGCGCGCCGCCGGGAGCCUUCGCCCGGAGCCUCCUUGGGGGGAGGACAGGCGUUUGAGCCCAGACUGAUCAUGGCUGGAAGACCCGUCUGUAUAGGAGACCAGCUGGUUCUGGAGGAAGAUUACGAUGAGACCUACAUCCCCAGCGAGCAAGAAAUUCUUGAAUUUGCCCGAGAGAUUGGCAUUGAUCCCAUCAAGGAACCGGAGCUGAUGUGGCUGGCCCGGGAGGGCAUUGUGGCCCCACUGCCUGUGGAGUGGAAGCCGUGCCAGGAUAUCACAGGGGACAUUUACUAUUUCAACUUUGCCAACGGACAGUCCAUGUGGGACCAUCCAUGCGAUGAGCACUAUCGGAGUUUGGUGACCCAAGAGCGAGCGAAGCUGUCGGCUCCUGGGGCCACUAAGAAGAAAGACAAGAAAAAGAAAAAGGAAAAGAAAGACAAGAAGGACAAAGAGACAUCCAGAAGCCCCCUGGACACACAGCCCGAGCAGGGAUUUCUGCCUUCUUCCUCCUUUCUCCAUGGCCCACCUCCUCUCCCGGCACCCGGGCUCGCUGAGCUGGAUCUAGACCAAGAGCUGCAGGCUAGAAGCGAGGGCUCCUUUAAGAAAGGGAAGAGCCUGCGCAUGCCAGGUGACACUCCCUGGCCUCUCGUGGGCACCCUGCCCAGCAAACUACAGCCACUCUCCAAAGGCCGGCCUUCCCAAACCCACCAGAUCUUCGAUGACGUGGAGAAACUCUUAGGCAGGGCCCCAGCACAAUGCAGGACAGCAUUAGGUGGUCAGCAGGGUCUGGAGGAAUCCCAGAAGCUGACAGAGAAAAUCCACCUGGGGUUUUCAGACCCUGAAGUAGAAGAGCUGGAAGAAAGGAGCAGCGCUGAGAACACCGGGCCCCUCCCGAGCAGGCAGGGCGCCUGGGGAAGCAGGAGCCAGGCCUACAGCCACUUGGGGCCUUCUGAAGGCAUCCAGGGCCCACAACUGAAAGGGGAGCCAUACGGCCACAACAUGGCCAAACUGAGCUGCAUUGGCCCUGGGGGGGACGAGGGCCAGAGCCCCAUUCCCUUGCCACUCCCUGAAGAAGAGCCCUCCCUAGCCUCUUGUUCUUCUGACCACAUGAUACCCACCAGGAAGGGCAAACUGUUCUUGUCAGAUGAGAGCCCAGUCGGGGACCUGAGCUGGCAGGGUGUUUCUGGGGAAGGUGGCAGUAUGGGCUGGGCGGGGAGGUGGAGAGAGCCCCCAGGACUGUGGAUGGGGUGGCUCUCCAAGCUUGUCGACCAAGACGCCCCUGGGAGCUGCAGGGAAGCAGAACCCAGUGACCCUGGGGCUCCAGGGGCCUCAGCCGAGGAUCCGCCUCAGGGGCCAUUCUUAAUGCCACUUACUACUCUGGCAUCCGAACCAGCCCAGAGCCCCCCUUCAGACAGUGCUCCUGGAGGGUCUCUUGCCAGUGAGAAGAGAGAACCCCCAGGGGCUCUGGAGCCCCCCGAAGGAGACAGGAAGCCUGGUGGGUGUGGGCACGACUCAGGGAAUAGCCACAGCAGCAGCUUGACCUCCCAGAUUCUGGGCGAGGUGAAUAACUUCCCUUGGGACCUGCAGGGCCCUCAGGAAGCAGAGCGUGCUGUGGGCCAGUCGGGCCCGGGGCCCAGAGGCCACUACCCUAGCCCUCUCCUGGCACCCCAGUUGCCCUUCAUGCAGAGCUCUGCUGCUGAACAGUCAGAGAGUGAAGACUACUCCGGGGAUCAGAAGCUCUACCAGCACAUCCUGCAGGUGGCCAAGCUCUCCAGGCGACUGCAGGGCCUGGGGCUCUCUGAGAGCACGCAGGAAAUGCCGUGCAAAGACAUCACCAGCAUGGCCUUUUGCAUGGCGGCUGAGGCUUCCAGGAUGUCCAGUGAGGGUGAGCACAAGGCCAUCAGAGCCACAGAAAGGGACUCAAGGUUUCUGGUGUUGGGGCCAGAGAUGCUGGAGCGCCCUCAGGAGGCGGCUUGUGCCCCUGCUGGGCAGGAGGCAUCUCAGCAAGCCUGUUUGCAGCCAAGCAGCAGCCCCCUCAGGCAGUGGCUAGCCGAGCCGAGUUCCCACAGAAGGCAUGCCACAGAGCCAGGCAAGAUGCAGCUUCUCAACCAGGCCCUGGGCUCCUCAUUAGCCCCAGUCCACGUUCCUCCUGGGGGCCUGGCUCCCCUACGCGUCCCUGUGGAUGCCCCGCCCUCUGCGCCUCGUGGAUCUCAAAACGUGAGCCUGGGUAGCUCGGGGCAGUCCAGGCAGCCUGGAGAACUCCUGCUGGAGCCUUCACAGGGUCUCAAGACUUCCACACAUACCAGGGGUCUCCUGGGCUCCAUCCAUGAGGACAGGGGUGCUCCCGGCCUCUGGGCUUCAGGGCAGGACACCAACGAGGAGCAUGAGGUGGAGAGCAGCUGCCAGAGUGUCCGUAGCUCAAGUGAGCUUCUUAAGAACCUGCACCUGGACCUUGGGAUACUGGGGCCUGACUUCGAGUACGAGGAGUCUCUGAGAACAAGCCAGCCAGAGGAGAAGAAGGACACCUCUCUAGAUCCAGAUGCGGCCGGCCCCCCUCCUCCUGGCAAGCUCUUCAGCCAAGGUGCAGACAGCAGCCUGAGCAGUGCCCACAGCAAAGGGCAGCAGGGAAGACGGGCAGGUGCUUGGGUCCCCGAAGAGGAAAAGAGUGAGGAGAGUGACCCUGGGUCAUCAGGGAUUCCGGCGGACCCUGGGGAAGACCCUGGGGCCGAUCCGCCGGCCAACGCCAGUAAAAAAGAGGCUCCAGUGGAUGCGGGAGAGGAUGGUUCCGGGACAGAGGAGGCCGUGGUGGGGCCAAAGAAGGAGGCAUCUGUCCUGAAGGAGAGCGGAUCAGACGCCAGCGAAAAGUCAGAGAUUAAUGAACACCUGAAGGAGCUACAGCUCUCAGACUCCACUGCUUCUGACCCCAAGUCCUUUGGCCUGGACUUCGGUUUUUGCAGCCGGAUCUCAGAGCGUCUGCUGGAUGUGGGCGAGCUUUUCCCAGCCCUGGAUGGAAGCCGCUGGGAGGCCCAGAGGUUGGAAAGAGGAGGCAAGGAUGACAGCCAGUCCAGCCAGGAUGAGCUGCAGAGCAAGCCGUCCAAAGGCUCGCAGAGGUCAUCUCCUCCCCUUCUGCGUGAGGAAAGGCUCCAGGGUCCCCUCCACUGCCAACCCGUCGAGGAGGGGCCCACGCAGGCCCUGGAGCGCAAGGGGGCGGAAGAGCCCAGGGAGAGCCCUGCAGGCAGCCGCCUGUCGCCCGUGUCCCUGCCGAGGGAGGGGGUCCCAAGCCCGCCUGCUGUCCACGGGAGGGGCCAGGAGCAGUGCGCUGGGGCUGAGGAGCUGGGCCCUGGGCAGGAAGAGGCCGAGGAGUCCGAGAAGGUGGCGGGCAGCCCUACUCCACUGGUCUCCCCGGAGAUAGAGAAGAGGGCCUGCCACGCGACGCAGGGCCACCUGGGGAAGGGCCUGGACUGGUCAGCAGGUAGAAGAGAAGAGGAGGGGGAGCGUGGCCCAGAAUCCUCCUUGGGGUUCUUGAGGGAAGGAGUGGACCAGCCAAGGCAAUUGGCAGAGGCUGCGAUGCCCCAGAAGAGGCUCUCAGAGGCCACCCUGCAGGCCAGGGAAGAGGCAGUGGCCCAAGAACUCGAGCAAGACCAGAGGCGGCUCCUGGAGGCGAAGCAAGAGAAGAUGCAGCAACUGCGAGAGAAGCUGCAGCAGGAGGCAGAAGAGGAGACCCUGCAGCUCCGCCGGCAGAAGGAGAAGGCUCUCAGUGCCCUGCGGGAGGAGCUGCAGAGAGCCGCCGAGGGAGAGGAGGCUCGGAUGAGGGAGGAGGAGGGGCGGAGGCUGGCCCGGCUCUGGGCGCAGGCAGAGGCCGAAGAGGACCGGAUCAGGGCCCAGCAAGAGGCUUCCCUGCAGAGGCGGAGGGAAGAGUUGGAGUCGCUAGAGAAGGCGGAGAGGGCCAGCUUGGAACAGAGAAGCAGACGGACGCUGGAGCAGCUCAGGGAAGAGGCGAAGGCUGCGGAGAAGGGAGAGCAGGCCGCCCUGAACGCGGGGGAGGAGGCGGCUUUGGGGCAGCCGAGGGAGCAGCUGCAGGAGGAGAGGAAGGGGGCUGUGGCAGCACUAGAGAGGGAGCACAGGGCUGAGCUGCAGCGGCUGUCUUCCUCACGGGAGGCCAAGCACCGAGAAGUGGUGUCCAGCCUCCAGAAGAAAAUAGAGGACACACAGCAGAAAGAGGAGGCCCAGCUGCAGGAGAGCCUCGAGUGGGCAGAGCAGAGAGCGCGUCAGAAAGUUCACCGAGCGCUGGAGUACGAGUGGGAGAUCGACGGCCUCCUGAGAGAGAAGCGCCAGGAGGUGGAGAGGGACCACGAGAGGAGGAUGGGCAGGAUGAAGGAGGAGCACCAGCGGGCGGUGGCCGAGGCCAGAGAGCAGUAUGCAGCUGAGGAGAGUAGGCAGCGGGCUGAGCUCCUGGGGCGCCUGGCCAGGGAGCGAGAGCGCCUGCGGAAGGCCCACGAGUGGGAGCUGGAGGACCUGCGGCGUCGGCACCGGGAGCAGGAAAGGAAAUUCCAGGAUUUAGAAGGGGAACUUGAAGCCAGAACCAAAGAUGUCAAGGCCAGACUGGCUCAGCUGGACGUCCAGGAGGAGGCUGCCCGGAGGGAGCAGCAGCAGCUCCUCGAUGUGCAGAGGCGGGUGGCGCUGGAGAGCCAGGAAGCUGCAGCCACCCUGGGGCAGGCGAAGAAGGAGCACACCCACCUGCUGGAGUCAAACCGGCAGCUGCAAAGGAUUCUCGAUGAGCUGCAGGACCGCAGAUUGGAGCUGGAGUCCCAGGUGGAGCAGCUGCAGGCCCGGAGUCAGAGGCUGCAGAAGCAUGUCAGGGACCUGGAGGCCCAAGUUCAGAGGAAGCAGGACAUGUCGAAAGGGCUGGCAGUCGAGGAGGGUGAUGCCCCAUGUUCUGAGCCAGAUCUCCACAUCAAGGACCUGAGGGCGUCCCUUGGGACUAACCAAACCAAAGAGGCGUCCCCUGCCCUCUCCCAGAGCAAGGAGGAGACUGGCUUGUCCUUGGACAGCCCUGAACUGCCCUCCCACAGCAUCCAGCACUACGUCUCUGCUGAGGGGAUAGCUCUCCGGAGUGCCAAGGAGUUCCUGGUGCGGCAGACACGCUCUAUGCGGAGGCGGCAGACAGUUCUGCAAGCUGCCCAGCGGCACUGGCGCCAUGAGCUGGACGGUGCUCAGGGGGCAGAUGCAGACCCGCCAGGCACUGAGGCCCUGGAAGACGUGCGCAAGGACCUGGAUGAGGGGACCAGGCACCUGGGUGAGACGACGUCGGCCAUGCAGAAAGGCUGUGACCUGCUGAAGACAGAGGAGCUGCAUCGGCUGGAGGCCUCCCUUGGGGAAGAGCCCUUAGAUGCAGACACUCUCAGAGGAGCCCCGACCAAGAAGGCGGUGACCUUUGACCUCGGUGACCUGGAAGACACCAGCAGUGAAAGCUCCGAGUCCUCCCUGCCUCACAUCGCCCUGACCCCAUGUCCCACCUUCCACAAUAAGAUCCACUACCUGAACAGCUCGCUGCAGCAGAUCAGCCGCCAGAUGAAUGGCGCCCUCAGCGUGCUGGGCAGCCUCAACACGCAGCUGCCCCUCUUCACUUCCGUGCCAGCCCAGGCCCCUCCCUGCUCCUCCCUGGCUGGGGUCCCAAGCCCAGCCACGCCUACCCGGUGGGCCUGGGACCUGGGGCUGGGCCUCAGGCCCUCCUCCUCUGUUUCUCAAACUGUGGACGACUUACUGGUGGAGAAGUGGCACAAGUAUUUUCCAACUGGAGCCCCGCCCCUCAGCAGCAGCCCUGCCCCCCUGGAGAACAGGCUGGGUUAUGUGUCUGCCAGCGAGCAGCUCCACCUCCUGCAGCAUUCCCAGUCCCAAGUGCCCAGGAUGGGCAGCACCAGCUUUCAGAGCAUGAUCGAGGCCAACCGAAGGUGGCUGGAGCAGUACAAGAAUGACCCCAGGUCGUACCUCUUCUCGCUGCCCAAGCCAACAGGUGCUUCGGGCCUCCUGCAGCUGGGCCUGUGUGAAGACAACAAACUGAAGGUAUAUCACUGCUGAGGCCCUGAGCAAUGGGCUUCGGGGCAGCCUGGCCUGUCCUGCACCCGGACCACAUGCCCAGGAGCUGCCUGCGCUUCGUCCCCUCCGAUGGAGCCGCCCCCUGUGCCCUCUUUGUCCCCCUCUGAGGAACCACGGGGCUGGGUGACAAGGAUGGUAUGACUCGGAACAGCAAGCUGCCCCCUCUGUGACCACGCAGCCUACCUCAGGCUUCAGUGUGUCAACUUGUGCAAGAGCUCCUGCAGGGACAGGCGGCAGAGGGCACCUCUGGGGCAGCAGAGGUGUGGCGGGCACCUGUAGGAGGAAGAGGUGCCUCUAAAAAUCAACUCCCUUUGCAGUUGAGUUGGUCCAUUGGGCCUGCAGGGCACUGCCUGCGGCUCCCGCAGUUUUGUGUGUGGCCUUUACCCGCCCAGGACAAAGUGCCCCAGCAUGUCUGUGUCCCCCUGGGGCCAGGUCUUUCUCUAGUACCUCAGCCUUCUCUUCGGACUGUCUCGGGCCUGGGUCCAGAGCCCUGCCGGCUUGCUGGAGGCUGGGGUCUUCUCCAGUGGCGUCCUCAGCAGCGCUCUCUGCCCCGCCCAAGGUCCCUCCCCAGUGCCGCCCCAGCUAGAUUCUCAGGUCUCAAGCCCUCAACGCUGAGGAAGUGUAAGCCAUAGGGAGAGCCUGGGUUGGCUCUGGGCCUCAGACCGGCUCCCCUCCUGGACCGCCUCUCGGGCUAUUCACAGGCUCCUGUUUCCAUUUAGACUUUCCACCUGUGCCACCCCUGCCCCAACCCACUGCCAUUACUUCUCGGAGCUUGGAGACUGGUUCUGAAGGAGGCCUCAGUCUACAAGAAAAAAUGUCCAUUUUGUGCUUCGGGGUGUGUCACGACCAACUCACUCCAAUGACAAGCCUGUGUCAGAUCUCUGCUACAAGGCAGUCGUAUGAAUCUGUCUCCUCUUUGAAGGUCUUUGCCUCCUUUCUCUU